rnacentral:rRNA from 1 species
GAGGAAGUAAAAGUCGUAACAAGGUUUCCGUAGGUGAACCUGCGGAAGGAUCAUUAUCGAGUUUUGAAGUGGGCUGCUUGAGCUGGCACGCAGGUGCUCGGCGGCUCCGCUCUCAUCCACUCAAACCCCCUGUGCACCUUGAACGAGUGUGGGUCGAGGCCGAAAGGCGGUAGGCCCGCCUCGUUUCUUACAAACUCUUGUAUUGUCUUGUAGAAUGCAUUGCCUCUCUGUGGGCGAAAUAGUUAAUACAACUUUCAACAACGGAUCUCUUGGCUCUCGCAUCGAUGAAGAACGCAGCGAAAUGCGAUAAGUAAUGUGAAUUGCAGAAUUCAGUGAAUCAUCGAAUCUUUGAACGCACCUUGCGCUCCUUGGUAUUCCGAGGAGCAUGCCUGUUUGAGUGUCAUGUUAUUCUCAAUCCCUUUGGUUUUUGUGACCGCUGGGCUUGGAUGUGGAGGUUUUGCUGGCUUCGCGGUCGGCUCCUCUUGAAUGCAUUAGCUGGGCUUACGCUCGAUGCAAUGGUGUAAUACUUUUCUUCACCAGUGUAACUUGCGAUKGGGGCCUGCUUCUAAUCGUCGCAAGACAACCAUAAGGACCUCGGUCCUUUGACACC